rnacentral:rRNA from 1 species
GGAUGAACGCUGGCGGCGUGCUUAACACAUGCAAGUCGAACGGAAAGGCUCCUGCUUGCCGGGGUACUCGAGUGGCGAACGGGUGAGUAACACGUGGGUGAUCUGCCCUGCACUUCGGGAUAAGCCUGGGAAACUGGGUCUAAUACCGGAUAGGACCACAUUUUGGAUGGUGUGGUGGAAAGUUUUUCGGUGUGGGAUGAGCUCGCGGCCUAUCAGCUUGUUGGUGGGGUAAUGGCCUACCAAGGCGUCGACGGGUAGCCGGCCUGAGAGGGUGUACGGCCACAUUGGGACUGAGAUACGGCCCAGACUCCUACGGGAGGCAGCAGUGGGGAAUAUUGCACAAUGGGCGCAAGCCUGAUGCAGCGACGCCGCGUGGGGGAUGACGGCCUUCGGGUUGUAAACUCCUUUCGCUAGGGACGAAGCGCAAGUGACGGUACCUGGAGAAGAAGCACCGGCUAACUACGUG